AGUGAACGCUGGCGGCGUGCCUAACACAUGCAAGUCGAACGAUGAUGGAGGAGCUUGCUCUUCCUGAUUAGUGGCGCACGGGUGAGUAUACCAUAGAUAAUGUACCCCUUAGUUCGGGAUAGCCACUGGAAACGGUGAUUAAUACCGGAUACUCCUUCUCGUUAUAAGACGAGUCGGGAAAGUUUUUUCGCUAAGGGAUCAGUCUAUGUCCUAUCAGCUAGUUGGUGAGGUAAUGGCUCACCAAGGCAAUGACGGGUAUCUGGUUUGAGAGGAUGAUCAGACACACUGGAACUGAGACACGGUCCAGACUCCUACGGGUGGCUG
rnacentral:rRNA from 1 species